GGCCACAGAGGGAAUCUCGCCGGCCGGCACACAUCUCCCUAAUGCCCAUCCACCCGUCUCCAUCCCAAUAAUGCAUCCUUCGUCUCUGUCUCAGUAGUGCUAGCAGCUCCGUCCCUGACAUCUCUCCCAGGUCCCAGCCGGCUCUGCGCCACGGCAUUCCCGUCCGGCCGCCGCCAACGCGCGCCUCCGGCGAUUGUGUGCCGGUUCACACACGCAGACGCAGACAUGGCUGGUGGGGUUGAAUCUCAGUGGUCCAUACGUGUGUUUGAAAGAUUUGAGCGUUCUGUGGUGCGACUGAACCAUGGAGGUCUUUUUCUUGGCACCGGCUUCGUUGUUUACUGGGACGAGUCCGGGGCGUGCCUCAUAAUAACAUGCCAUCAUGUUGUUUCGCGUGUACGGAUGAAUGAAAUCGUGGAUGCUUACUUCUCUGGGAACACUAUACCAUCUGCUGUGCGCAUAGUUCGUCGUGGCAACGACAUCAAAGACCUUGCUUUGCUUCGGGUCCAACGCAUGUCUAGCCAAGUCACCAGACCUCCCGUUGUUAUGGACUUCUUCCAGCAUCCAGUGGCACCGGGAUGGGACGUUGUUCUGCUUGGCUAUAACGUUUUGCGUAAUAAUUUUAUCCUGGAGCCCUCAACCUGGUCUGGCCGAAUCAUUUCCCCGUCAACCAAUACACAUAUCAAAUAUAGUUGCACAAGCACUGGAGGCAUGUCUGGGUCACCUAUUGUCCUGGCAGGAGUAAACAAAGUCGUUGGGGUGCAUUUCAUGAGCAGUGGAUCGACUGGGUAUGCGAUUUGCACCGAAGCUAUAAGAGAAUACUUAGAAGAAUAUUUACAAAUGGACAACCUAUCGAUCGAUGAGCUGCUUGUCAUAGCUGCUGAAGCAACAUGAAGCAGUGCAAGAGGGUUCGAAUCAAUGAGAAGUUAGCUAGAGAGCAGCUGGAACACUGGAUGUUAGCUUGGGGAUGCAAUAUGAAAGGGGGUUUUGUUUGCAGAGAGCAGCUGGAACACUGGAUGCGAACUUGGGGAUGCAAGAUGAAGGUGAUCGGAGAUGAUCGUGGGUGCAAUUUGCACACAGCGUAGUUCUAGACUUCCUAGCUAGUUGUAGUAGUAUGCUUUAUUGUUGAAGACUCUGAAAUGCUUAGUUCCUGAUAGUUCGUUGGCGUGUGUGCAUACAUUUCAGAUGUUGCUGCAGUUUGGACUUUGGAUUAUGUAUGUGGCUAUGUUUCCUUACCAUGUUAGAGCAAACAUGGUUGAAGUUGAACUGCUGUUGACUCGUUUA